rnacentral:rRNA from 1 species
ACCGGACCUAGCGGCGGACGGGUGAGUAAUGCUUAGGAAUCUGCCUAUUAGUGGGGGACAACAUCUCGAAAGGGAUGCUAAUACCGCAUACGUCCUACGGGAGAAAGCAGGGGAUCUUCGGACCUUGCGCUAAUAGAUGAGCCUAAGUCGGAUUAGCUAGUUGGUGGGGUAAAGCCCUACCAAGGCGACGAUCUGUACCGCAUAAUAAAAUCUACAUCCGGGACACUGGGACUGACACACGACCCAGACUCGGACGGGAGGGGGGAGUGUGGAAUAUUGGACGAUGGGGGGAACCCUGAUCCAGCCAUGCCGCGUGAGUGAAGAAGGUCUUAUGGUUGUAAAGCACUUUAAGCGAGGAGGAGGCUACUCUAGUUAAUACCUAGGGAUAGUGGACGUUACUCGCAGAAUAAGCACCGUCUAACUCUGUGCCAGCAGAAGCGAAAAUACAGAGGGUGCGAGCGUUAUUCGGAUUUACUGGGCGUAGAGCGUGCGUUUCUUCUUAUUAAGUCGCACGCCCAAUCCCCGAGCUUAACUUGCGACUUGCAUUCGAUACUGGAGAGCUAGAG